rnacentral:rRNA from 1 species
AUUGAACGCUAGCGGGAUGCUUUACACAUGCAAGUCGAACGGAGUGGCGGACGGGUGAGUAAUAUAUCGGAACGUGCCCAGUAGCGGGGGAUAACUACUAGAAAGAGUGGCUAAUACCGCAUACUAUUCGAGCUGCCGAUAUCUGAUUAGCUAGUUGGUGGGGUAACGGCUCACAAAGGCCACGAUCCGUAGCUGGUUUGAGAGGACGACCAGCCACACUGGGACUGAGACACGGCCCAGACGCCUACGGUAGGCAGCAGUGGGGAAUUUUGGACAAUGGGGGAAGCCCUGAUCCAGCCAUCCCGCGUGUAUGAUGAAGGCCUUCGGGUUGUAAAGUACUUUUGGCAGAGAAGCGGUAUCUUCUUAAUAAGCACCGGCUAACGACGUGCUAGCAGCCGCGGUAAUAC